UCGGGAAUUUUGCGCAAUGGGCGAAAGCCUGACGCAGCAACGCCGCGUGAGGGAUGACGGCCUUCGGGUUGUAAACCUCUUUUGUCAGGGAAGAUUAUGACGGUACCUGGCGAAUAAGCCACGGCUAACUACGUGCCAGCAGCCGCGGUAAUACGUAGGUGGCAAGCGUUGUCCGGAUUUACUGGGCGUAAAGAGCGCGCAGGCGGUCGAUUUAGUCGCGUGUGAAAGCCCCCGGCUCAACUGGGGAGGGUCACGCGAUACUGAUCGACUCGAAGGCAGGAGAGGGUAGUGGAAUUCCCGGUGUAGUGGUGAAAUGCGUAGAUAUCGGGAGGAACACCAGUGGCGAAGGCGACUACCUGGCCUGUUCUUGACGCUGAGGCGCGAAAGCUAGGGGAGCAAACG
rnacentral:rRNA from 1 species